rnacentral:lncRNA from 1 species
AGAAACAAAGAAAAGAAAAGAAGGAAGGAAGAAAAGGAUGAAAGAAAGAGAGAGAGAAAAGGAAAAGAGGGCCAUCUGUGAGCCUCCUUCUCCGUUUCCUCCGCCCCAGUCAGGCCUGCCAGCCAAGCUGGACCAGCACUUUGCUGCUGGGGGCAAUGAGCGUGGGGAACUGUGGGCUUUGGCUUUGCUCGCUUUUCCUCCAGGGCCGUGUGCAGAGCGGAGGGUUUCGCUUGCCCGAUGGGUACUGACUGAAUCACAGCUCGGAGCUGGAGUCCAUGUAAUUAACCGGCAGCCGUGAGCCCUGGGGAGGCUGUGAGGCCGCCGAGCGCACAGGUGAUUGGGCACCGAGCAAGGUGGCUCCUAAUAGCUGUGGCCUGAUCUUUACCAUCCACAGCGCUGGGACCCACCUCCUCGGAGGCUGGUUACACACUGGCUGUGGGUGUUUUUGUUUUGUUUUGUUUUGUUUGUUUUUGCCAGGGCUCCAAGAGCGGAAUUGGGGGCCAGAAAAGCAGAAUUCUGUGUGUGUGUAUAUUUUGGGUUGGGGGAGAGGCUCUCUUAGAACUAUCCUGAGAGAUCAAGCCAGCCUCCUUAGCACGUCAGCUUUCUCAGUUUGUCUGUCUGUCUGUCUGUCUCUUUCUCUCUCUCACACACACAGAUACACACUGUUACCUUAGCUGAUGGAACAAAUUUCUAGAAAAAAUACACUUAAAGGAAAUGUGAAGAAGCUUAUAGUUUAUCGAAAUCUAGAGAGCGUCUUCCUGAUGAUAAGAUCUUUAAAUCUCCCUCAGCGGAUCCAAGACAACUUGGGUCACAAAGAGCGAAGUGUCUCCUCAGCCCAGCAGGGGCAGAGUGAGUAGUGCAUGGGGUAGGGGGGCUGCCCUUGCUCGACUCAACCAGUCUCGCGCCCCAAAGCCCAACCCGCCAGGGUGUGCAGUUCCGUGUGGGUGGUCGCCCCUCUGCACCAUGCUUUUGGGAUUUGUGACAAAGAUGUUUGCUCUUUAUGUUCUUUGUGGUGUCCUAAUUCUCCUUCAAGCUUUCUGCCUAGUGUCUCCUGUCGUGCUCUUUCCGCUUACUAUCAUCUUCCUUCCAAAGAUGACAAAUGAGGUUUGUCAUGCCUUGCCAAAGCACUGGGACGGAACUCCAGGCAUAUCUGACUCCAAAUCAAGCUUCAUACUAUCUACCAUUCCUCGAGCACUUGUGUGUUAAAUGCCUGAUCGUCUUCGUUAACCCUCACCACAACUCCAUGAGUAGACUCAGUUAUCCUGAUUUUAUAGUUGAGAUCCACAUGGAUAAGGGAGCUUGCCUGAGGUUGAACAGCAAGCAAGUGGAGGCGCUAGAAUCAGAACUAUGUGCAAAGAACUGCAGCCCUUGGUCUUCACUAUGCUCUCUCUUGCUAGAGUGUGAAAGGCUGAUGAGACGUGCACACUCAGCGUAAGGAUGACUACACCAUGGCUCACCCUCUGGCUAUUAAUGGACCAUAAAGCUGGGAGGUUCCUGACAUACCAUUACACUUCUUCACACUUAUCGAAGUCUGAAUAUAGGAAGUAUUGGAGGAGGAAUUAGGGGAAUGAAGACUCUCAGAAAUUGCUAGGAGGAGUGUAAACUAGUAUAUGAUCUUUGGAGACCAAUUCCCCCUCACAACCUAGCCAUCCUCCUUCUAGGGAUGAGCGAGUCUUGUACACUCACGUGCAUCACAUGAAUGGGGAUGUUCCUUGCAGCAUUUUUAUAAUAAAGAAAACGUGGUAUAAGGGUCCAGGCAAGGGCAGGUGCAAGGAGGCCAGUGAGGAAACCAGGCCUGAAUCCUCUUGGGAGACGGUUGCUCACACCAGGUGGCAGCGGUGGAGGCAGACAAGCCUGUGGGAGAACCGGGUUGGAGGUGAGGUGGGGACAGCUGCUCAGUUGAGGUUGUGUUGACUCUGAGACGCUGUUUGACAUCCGCACGGAGACGUUGAGUAGCAGCCGGAAAUAUGGGUCUAGAUUUCAAAAGAGAGGGCCCAGCUGGAGUGUGAACUGGGGGGCACCAGCACACACACGGUGUUUGAAGCCAGGAGCCUGUGAACCUUUUACUUCUUAUAAAUAAAAGAGCUGAAGCAAAUAUGACAAUGUUGACAUCUGUUAAUUCUGGGUGGUAUAUACACUCUGCUUGUAAUACUAGUCUUUGUACUUUUUAGUGUGUUUGAACUUUUUUAUAGUAAAAUUAAUUAAUAAACAGUUUAUAAGACCACAAGGCUCCAAACUGCUGAACAGUUCUGUCAGGAGUGCCUUCGACCUAAAGUGUGGGUGCUAGCAGCGAGUUAAGGAGCCAGGUUCAAAUUCCCCUGCCACCAACCUCAGCUCAGUGACCGGAGGUGGACCCUGUCUCUCUGGGCCUGUGUCCCCACUUGGACAACAAGAAACUGGCGCAUGGCUUCUCAGGGUUCUUUCAGCACUGACCACCCAGGAUUCAAGCUGGUGCCCCACAGGUCCCCUGCCUGCUCUGAUUUUGUCCGCCACCUCUCAUGCCUGUCCUAUAGAUAAGGCCACAAGUACCCCCAUAAGAGGGCUCCUGUAGGUGGAGGGCUAACUUUACCUCCAAACAGAUGGCAAGUACAGCAAAGAGGAGUCAGAAAGGACAGGGCCCCUGGUCCCCAGGCCCUGGGACCCCAAAGGAAUUAGGCUGAGCUUAAAGGCAGGGAGCCCAGAGACUAAAAGUGUUCACAAUAUGUACUGCUGACGAAUGCAUCCUGCUCAGGACCUUGGGCCCAGUGGAAGAAUAGUCUAUGAGCCAGAAACACACAAAUGGGUGUGUGGCUGAACCAAUCUGCCAAGUUGUAAUAGGCACGGAUAAUGAGAGUAGUAGUAAUAAUAGUAGCAAUAAUAUUUAUGUGACGGGUUCUGAACCAAGCGCUUACCGUGCAUUCUCUCACGUAACCCUCACAAUGACGGUGCCGUGGGGUUAUCACUUUCAUUAGCCAGACUUUGGGGAUGACGAAAGUGAGGCUCACAGAGUCAAGCAACUUCCCCAAAUCACGCAGCCGAGAAGGAGCAGAGCCUGGAUCAGAACCGAGGCAGUGUGACUCCAGAUCGCAAGGUCUUGACUGCACUUGGGGAGCAACAAGUUCCUCUAAAUCUCUCCGACGAGAGCCAGAGAAGACAGCCUAGCUGAAGCGCUGUUCAUUGAGCCAUUUAUUCAUCAUCAGCCCAUAAAUAUCUACUGAGCACCCACUGUGUGGCAGCACUCAGUGUGCCUGGCCCUGGGGAUGCUGAGAUUAGCAGCCUCUGUUCCUGAGAAGCCUGUGGUCUAGAGAGAGGGGUCAGUUUACAAACCAGCAAGAUAAAACCAGUGGGCUCCCGGCUGCGUUUGUCCCGAGGGUCCCUGUAUGGGAAAGGAGGGUGAUCCCAAGAGCAAAACGUGGACCAGGGUGUGGAGUCGUGAAGUGAGACCUCCCUCUGCCAUCAUCACAUGGCUGAACCUCCGUUCCUAGGCCAUGAGUUCCAGAAAGUUCUUUCUGGCAGAAACUGCUGGGCCCAGGAACAGCACGAGUCUAGCUGUUACCUUUAUGGAAAGGGAAAAAGACUCAAACCCUGUCAUUUUAUCUUUUGUAAGAGGUAGAACCUUAGCUGCUCCUUUGGCACAAACUGUUUCAUUGUUCUGAGAAAACCACUUGAGUUCACUUACAUGUGAAGCGCAGGCCGUCACUGGAGAAGGAGCUAUUUAAGGCUCAGUGACUCAAAGGAGGUACAAUGCUGUGUGAUAAUAAAAGAGUUGCUGCAGGCAGGACUGCCUCUUUGCUGGAGUUCUUAACCAGGACCCCUCAGGGGUCCACCAAUGGGAUUUAGGAGAGCCACAAAACCCCUGAACUUGUGAGGAGAACCUUGUGUCUUUGUGCAUUGUUUUCUGGAUGACGGUCCAGAGCUUUCAUCAGAUUUUCAAAGGGCUCCUUGAAGCCCCCGAGAAGGCAAAGGAUCGCUUCCCUGAAGAAGUAUUUAUUUCCUAAGCGUGGGUUUAAGCUGUACCCACCAGCCAUUGCGUGUUCUUGGCGUGGCACGUGUGUUCUUGUUUUCCUGCUGCCAUGCAGAGAUCCGCUGAGACCCAGAAGAUGGCCCAAAGGGCAAAAAGGGGACUGUGGAUGGGCUUCCCCAGGGACUAGGGAAGGGCCAUGUUAAAGGAACUGGACAGCCUGGGCACAGUUCAACAUGGACUCCACUGCCCGGUGCUAAACAUGGUCAUUUCAUUCUGCGCAGCCCAGAAAUUGGGAAAUAUCUUCACACUUGGGGAUUGGAUUUUGAUAUUACCAUUCACUUGGGGUAUUAAGCAACAUUGCAAUGUCAACCAUUCAAGGAAGAAGCAAUUCCUGGCUCAGAGAGUGAGGGGGGAGGAGAGAGGGCUCAGAUGAGAGUGAAGGAAAAUCCCUUCCUCUUUCCAGGCUCACUUGGUUGGACAAGACAUUCUAAGGCAUUAAUAUCUUCUAGAGGGCACAUCCGAGAGGCGGGGGGAAGGUGGCCCUGCCAAGACAUGGGCUGGGGCUGUGCCGGGAAUGCAGGCCCAGGAAGACGGAUCCAGCCUGUGGACUCUGAGAGCAGCCUCAUCCAAUUCUGGGUUUCCUGGGCUGAGAUGUCCUCCUGACCUUCUGAACUAUAUGCUCUGCUUUUCCUCCCCCUUGGCUCCCCAGUGCCCAGCACAGUGCUGGCCCUUUGAAGGUGCUAAAUGAGUAGAUGUGCCUGGAUUCCCUACUAGGCUGUGAACUCCCUUCGGGCAGAGACCACAUUGGAUCACUACAAUAUUGCUCCCACCUACACCUCCCCAGGGCCCCACGGAUGAGCAUGGGGAGGAAUCCCUUUCUCCUCACUAGACAUUCUCAUGGUUCCAUGGGUCAGACUGAGGCCUCAGUGGUCCUUAUGCGUGACCGAUGGAGACCCCACUAACGUACCAACUGGGAGGAACUGUCUCCACUGGUUGCAGCCAGGCUCCACUUUUUGCCUCUCCGAAUGAUGCCAGCAUCUUUCAGCAGAGUCCUCAGCCCCCAUAUGCAGGAUGCUCGUGGACCUGUCCACUCGUCAUUCACUCACUCAUUCACUUGUUCUCUUACAUGCCCCCUCACGCUCUCAUUCAGUCUUCAGUCAUUCAACUAUUCAUCUGAUUCAUUCAUUCAUCCAACAUCCACGACACAGAACACUGUGCAGGUAGGGAGAUGCUCCAGACAUGGGUCUCGGCCCUGAGAGCUCCCAGAUUGAGGCGAGGGGCAUCAGAGCCAUGCACACAAAUAAUCAUACAGCAGAAUAGAAAGUAGCAAAGGUCACAAGAAACGUACGCAUGCAUCACUGAGGGGCCACAGAGGGAGAGGUUUCUUCCAGCUGAGAAAGGGAGAGAUCAGAGGCAGCUUCCUGCAGGAAAUACAACCAGAGGCAACUCCAGAAUUUCUACGUGGAGAGAGAGUGAGGAUGGCAGCUUGCGGGGGAAGCUGGAUGCCGCAUCAUCUGGAGGGGAUUGUACAUAGGACUGAAGAGCCGUCAGCUGCCUCAUCAAAGAACGGGGUUAUGCUGGAGUUGGGGGCUGGUUAAAUCUCUCCCAAAUCCUCUCUUGCGUCUACCGCUCAAGAAAUCACAUUUGAGCUGAUGCCUCGGUAAAUGGGGAGGAUUUAUUGGGACUCAGGUGAGAGGGAAAGGAUGAACACCUGCCAGGAGCCAAGGCCUGGAGGUGGGAAAGUCCAGGCGAGUGCAGGGAGCCGGGAGGCCCUCUGUUUGGGUGGAGCAGGUAGAAGGGAGUCGUGGGCACUGAGCUUGGAAAGGUCGGUUGAGCUCGGAAUGCAAGGCUAAGAUGUCUGGGCUCCAUUCAGCAGAUGGUGGGGAGCCACUGAAGGUUUUGAGCAAGAGAGUCUCGAGGCCAAUGCUGCUUUUAGGGGUGUGUCUGUGGGGCAGUGUGGGGAAUGAAGAGGAGGAUGCGAGACCACAGGAGGCUCAUUCCAGGCCCCUCCUAAUGUUUAGGGGGGCAGAGCAAGAGUACAAUGGAGGUCCAAUACCACCUGGCUAAAAUGUUUAAAAGUUAUAAAUCAAAUUAACAAACAAAUAAAACACAUUCUAUCCUCCUACCUUGAGAAAUAGAGCUUCAUAGCAACCUGGAGGGCCAGGUUCAAAUGUGUGACCCUAGAUCCUUAUGCUGGAACACGGAGGAGCCAGGAGACCUGCCCCAUGGCCCCAACCCCAGUCUGCGGCCCACCUCCCUUCUCUUCCCAGCCCUGACUCCUUCCCCGCUCUGAGAGGCCUCGCACAUGCCUGCGGGCACCCAGCCCACACAUCCAAACUUCGUUAGCACCCCCAUCAAACAGCCACCCCCAGCAACCCUCCAGGCCUGGAGGGAUACACACUGGCUGCACGUCUGCCCUUGGGAACCUGGGGAGGAGGAGUGAGCAAACCCUUGGAAGCAAGCAGGCUUGGGAUGACAAAAUUUCCAGAAUCCAGGGUGCUCUGUGCGUGGCCUAGAAGGAGAGGUUGUAGGCUCCAGCCUCCAGCCCGCGGCGUCUGGCUGGGCCGUGUGCAGGGCGUCUGGCCCCAGGGAGAGGUGGGGUAAGCCGAAGUCUACACCUACACGGCUAUAAAUAGGGAGACUCUGAGGACUGCUCACUCAGCCUCCCGCCCCCAGCUGUGACAGCACCGGAGCCUCUCGGACGCCUGGACCAUGGACCCCAGGGAAUGCUCCUGCAUGUCUGAAGGAAUCUGCCUCUGUGGAGACAACUGCAAAUGUACAACUUGCAACUGUAAAACAUGUCGAAAAAGCUGCUGUCCCUGCUGCCCACCAGGCUGUGCCAAGUGUGCCCGGGGCUGCGUCUGCAAAGGGGGCUCGGACAAGUGCAGCUGCUGCCCCUGAAACGCAUCCAUCGUGCUGGGGGCGAGGCCUGGGAAGCAUCUGUACAGUGUAUUAGUCAAGAAGUCAGAAUGAUUGUACAAUAGGUUGUGCUUUUUAUAUAUUUGCUGUUUGGUGACAGUCAUGUAAAGUGCUUGGAGCAAUAAAGUUGUCACUCGUGGUUGUCUGGUGGCUCAGAGCACUGUUUUACCCUAACCCAGCAGGACUAAGAAGGGCUGACUCCAUUGCAGAUACAGUAGGGACCAGCCUGCAUCCCUUCUGCAGAUGGCUGCUAACCCCAUGAUCCCUCAGGCUUGCUCCUGCUGCGUGAACUUGCUGGACGCAUGCACAGGACAGGCUGGGAGUAUUGGGAGUCAACACCCUUGGGAACAGCCCUUAAUGGAUGACAAACAGGAGCUGGUGGAUAAAUACCCCCAGCAUCUUUAUUCUUACAGUGAGACAAAUCUGAGAUAUUCUACACCAUCCCCAGAAGUCCCCAGCAGCACUGAGCUCCAAUAGCCCACUGUGAAACCUGCUCAUUAACAUGCCCCAUAUUGGCUUCAUUCCUUCUCUGCCCCACUUCUGCAUUCUCCUACCAGUGCUUCCUGGGAUCCCCACCCAAAGAAGUACUUUUACAGGGUCUGCUCUGGGGGUGACCCAUCUAAGCCAGGCUCUCCUGACAUGCUGUUGACCAAGAAUGCCUCACUGUGCUAAUGGUGCUGUUUAAGGGGCGUUAGCACUGAAUCAGCCACAAACGGGGUGUCUGUGCAGAUCUAAGGAAAAGCCCCAAGGCCAAGACAAUGAGGGCAUUAGCUGCCCAGGUUUGGAUAUUGGGCCAGCCUUCAGGAUGGGGCGACUGCGCAGACAGGGCCCAGGGGCAGCUGAUGCUGUUCAUUGCAGUUCUUGCAUUUCACAGAAGUCAAUGCAAAGAGAAACCGAAAUCUUCCAUUAUUUCACUCAGAUUGCUGACGUGAAUCAGAGCUUUCGCUACACCAGCACAAUUCCGAUGAAGUUUGAUGAUGAUAAUAGUUGCCAUUAUGCAGCACUCAUGAUGCACCAGCCAUUGUUCUGAGCACUUUACACACGUGCUCUCAUUUAAUCCCUACAAUAGCCCUGCAGAGGGGUGGGUCGUGUGGAGGCAUCCUUGAUUUUUAAAAAAUGAAUUAUUUUUAAACAGGUCUACACACACAAUGUACAAAACACAAAGAUACAAAAGGUAUAAGUCUUCUCCCCAUAUUCAUGCCCCAGUCUCCCCUCCCCAAGAUAACUACAGUAACCCCUUUCUUGCGUAACCUUCCAGGGUAUUCCAUGCCUGUACAAGGAUGUAUGACACACAGCAUCACACACACACACACUGCAGAGUACUACAUACCCUGGGAAACUUGGGAAAUGUUUUCCCUUGUAUAGUAAACUCUCCAUCAGGUCCUUUUUUCCACUUAAGAGAGAAGAAUAAGUAUAAGGAAAAAUAAGAAGAUUAAACAACCACGAAAUAAGGUGACAAGACAAGAAAACGAUGGAAAGGCCUGGCCCUUGGAGUCUGACGCUCCACCUUCCCCCACUGCGUGACCUUGACCAAGUCACUUACCUCUGAGUCUCAGUUUCCGCUUCGUGAAACAUACCGCCCUCCCAGGGAGAGACCAUAGCAAAAGGUCUAUGCACAUAGUAGGUGCUUCAUAAACAGGGAUUUUAGUAGGGCUGCAGCCUUUCUUAGGCUUCGGUUUAUUAAUCUCUGAGAAGGUCCCCACCAAGUCACUCUCUGAUUGCAGAGCUCUCAGGCCCCUUGGGAAGGAGGUGAUGUUGGCAAUGACACUGUCCAGGGGACAGAGCAGUCCCUUGUGUCUCCAACAGGCACGCAGGCCACUCUCCCUGCCACCUCAGCCUCAGCACCCACAGGGAUGCCAUCUCAGCUCAUCUAAAUGCUUUACCCGAACAGUCUCCUUUAUUCCUAUCACAACCUGGAAGCGACAAUCAGCCCCCAGAGUCUAAUUUUAAUAAUAAUACCAAUCACCAAUAUUUAUUGAGCACUUCAUAUGUGCCAAGCACUGGAGUAAGCAUUUUGUAAACAUUAUCCCAUGGGCCCUGCACAAUCCGGGCUGCGCUAGAGCUGGGCAAUCUGGGCUCUGCUAUGGACCCCCUGCCUUACAGAGUCUGUCUCUGACCCUC